rnacentral:rRNA from 1 species
UCCGAGUGCGAGGGCAUACAGUCCUCGCUAUUAUGUACCGUAGGGUGGUACACGACCAAGAGCUGGGCAAGACCGGUGCCAGCCGCCGCGGUAAUACCGGCAGCUCGAGUGAUGGCCGAUUUUAUUGGGCCUAAAGCGUCCGUAGCUGGCCCAGCAAGUCCGUCGGGAAAUCCACUCGCCUAACGAGUGGGCGUCCGGCGGAAACUACAGGGCUUGGGACCGGAAGACUUGAGGGGUACGUCUGGGGUAGGAGUGAAAUCCUGUAAUCCUGGACGGACCGCCGAUAGCGAAAGCACCUCAAGACGACGGAUCCGACAGUGAGGGACGAAAGCUAGGGUCUCGAACUGGAUUAGAUACCCGGGUAGUCCUAGCUGUAAACGAUGUUCGCUAGAUGUGGCACAGGCUACGUGCCUGUGCUGUGUCGUAGGGAAGCCGAGAAGCGAACCGCCUGGGAAGUACGUCCGCAAGGAUGAAACUUAAAGGAAUUGGCGGGGGAGCACUACAACCGGAGGAGCCUGCGGUUUAAUUGGAUUCAACGCCGG